AUGGACUGGAGCUGGAUCAUACUCUACCUGGUGGCAGCACAUACAGGAGUCCAUUCUCAGGCUCAUCUGCAGCAGUCUGCAUUUGAACUGAAGACUCCUGGAGCUUCACUAAAAGUGACCUGCAAGGAUUUUGACUCAAAUAUCUUCCCCAUUUCCUAUAUGAGUUGGGUGAGGCAGAAGCCUGGACAUGGGCUUGAGUGGAUUGGAAACAUACUCCCAAGCAUUGGUAGAACAAACUAUGGACAGACCUUUGAGGACAGAGUCACACUGACUGCAGACACAAUGUUGAACACAGCCUACAUGGAGCUCAGAAGCCUGACAUCUGAGGACUCUGCCACCUAUUACUGUGCAAGACACAGUGUCACAACACACAUCUAG